UCUACAACGCUCUCCCUCUCACAGGCUUUACUUGCGGAAAGGUCGUGGAGAAAUUUGUAAAAUCUACGAUUUGCCUUGUUUGCCAGAAUCCGAAGCGAUGUUUGCGAUUCUAUAGCUGAUGGAAUCGGCAAUAGCUAGCAAGGAAUAAUCCUUGCAUACGUUUUAAGAUUUCGUCCUUCUUUUUAUUCCUUUUUUAAUGUUCAAUCCAAAAAGUUCCAUAGAUUGCGAGUCUAGUUCGGUUUCAGGAACGGAAAGUCAGUGAACAUGAGUCUACAAUUGUACCAGAGUAAUAGAAUACUGGUGUAGCCACGGCCAUGUUAACUCCCCCUCUCGGAUUUUUUCAACAAGGUCUCUGAGACGGCGUCUUAACGUGCAGACGAUAAAUACGCCAAUGUUAAAGGAUAGGGCCUUCCAAAGAAUCGAUUCUUUUCAAGGUCUGUCAACGAUUUUUAACAUCAAGCGGCCAUAUCAUUCGAAUGUUCGUCUGCAAGUUGUUUAUUAGUUUUUAGUUUUUUCUUUUUUUUCUUUUUCUUUUUCUUUUUCUUUUUCUUUUCUUCUUCUUUUCUUUUUCUUAUUUUCAUGAUGAUCGGUAAAACUAGAAAUAGUAAAUUACUUAAUAAAGUAGCAAACGUUGACCAAACUUCAACACAAAGAACGCGUAAACAAAAACUAAUUAAAAUGAUGGAAUUAAUGGUUAAGGAACACAAUGCCAGCUUUAUCAUUUUCAUGCAUUUUCCCAACAAUCAUGAAAGUGUGAUUAACGUACUAAAGUUAGGUGACUUUGCCAUUGCAGUUUCAAAAAAACCCUGCAUGUAACUUGAACGGGAUGAGUUUAAGGCAGCAGCAGUCCAGUUCCAAUUGAAUAGAAAAUCUGGCACAGACAAAGAAGAGGAAAUUUCCGUUCUCGGACACCACACUCCUAAUGUUCCAGAUCCCUCAAUCAACAUGGACUCUGUUCUUGCCACAGGCUCAGUGCAAUCUCAUCAAACUCCUGGGGUAGUUUCAGAAAACCCUGCUUCUACUGGUAAUACAACCAGGCCUCAUGCAACUGUUGUGGCUGUUUUAGGUGGCUGUUCUCCUAGCUCAGCUCCACCUCGUCAUUCUGGUGUAUCUGUUCCAGAUCUCUCAAUUCCGGGCUCAAUUCAACAUCAUCCAACUGAUGUACCACUAAAGGGGCAGAGGAAACGAUUAGCCAAGCUGCUCACCCAGGCUCCUAAGAAACAUUUUUUUGAUGGAAUGGGUUUUAAAUCUAAUAAUAUUCAAUCAAAACAUGUUUCAUUACACCAAUUAUGAACUUUUUUGUGUGCUCUUUAACCUAGAAUGUUUUUUCUUACAGCAAAUAACCAAAAACUGCAACGAAUAAAGAAUAAAUGAAUAAAUACAAGAAUUGUUAAAACCCAAA